CCUACGGGAGGCAGCAGUGGGGAAUCUUGCGCAAUGGGCGAAAGCCUGACGCAGCGACGCCGUGUGCGGGAAGAAGGCCUUCGGGUUGUAAACCGCUCUCAGGAGGGACGAAGCCACUCGGGUUAAUAGCCCAGAGGGUGACGGUACCUCCAGAAGAAGCCCCGGCUAACUACGUGCCAGCAGCCGCGGUAAU
rnacentral:rRNA from 1 species